rnacentral:rRNA from 1 species
UGUGAUAGCCACAACCAUAUUAACCUGCAGCCCAAGACUGGUUACUCAAUGAAGCUAAGCAAGGCUGCGGCUGGUCAGUACCUGGAUAAGAGACCACAUGGGAAAACUAAUUUGCUAUUGGAA